rnacentral:rRNA from 1 species
GUUCCCAUACCGAACACGGAAGUUAAGCUCUUCAGCGCCGAUGGUAGUUGGGGGACUCCCCCUGUGAGAGUAGGACGUCGCUAGGC